GAUGAACGCUAGCGGCAGGCUUAAUACAUGCAAGUCGAGGGACAGCACAGGUAGCAAUACUGGGUGGUAACCGGCAAACGGGCGCGGAACACGUACACAACCUUCCUUUAAGUGGGGGAUAGCCCAGAGAAAUUUGGAUUAAUACCCCGUAAUAUAGUUGAAUGGCAUCAUUUGAUUAUUAUAGCUACGGCGCUUAAUGAUGGGUGUGCGGCUGAUUAGAUAGUUGGCGGGGUAACGGCCCACCAAGUCUACGAUCAGUAGCUGAUGUGAGAGCGUGAUCAGCCACACGGGCACUGAGACACGGGCCCGACUCCUACGGGAGGCAGCAGUAAGGAAUAUUGGUCAAUGGACGCAAGUCUGAACCAGCCAUGCCGCGUGAAGGAUUAAGGUCCUCUGGAUUGUAAACUUCUUUUAUUUGGGACGAAAAAGGGCCUUUCUAGGUCAACUGACGGUACCAGAUGAAUAAGCACCGGCUAACUCCGUGCCAGCAGCCGCCGUAAAAC
rnacentral:rRNA from 1 species